rnacentral:rRNA from 1 species
GACGAACGCUGGCGGCGUGCCUAAUACAUGCAAGUUGAGCGCUGAAGGUUGGUACUUGUACCAACUGGAUGAGCAGCGAACGGGUGAGUAACGCGUGGGGAAUCUGCCUUUGAGCGGGGGACAACAUCUGGAAACGAAUGCUAAUACCGCAUAAAAACUUUAAACACAAGUUUUAAGUUUGAAAGAUGCAAUUGCAUCACUCAAAGAUGAUCCCGCGUUGUAUUAGCUAGGUGGUGAGGUAAAGGCUCACCAAGGCGAAGAUACAUAGCCGACCUGAGAGGGUGAUCGGCCACAAUGGGACUGAGACACGGCCCAAAACCCUACGGGAGGCAGCAGUAGGGGAUCUUCGGCAAUGGACGAAAGUCUGACCGAGCAACGCCGCGUGAGGGAAGAAGGUUUUCGGAUCGUAAAACUCUGUUGGUAGAGAAGAACGUUGGUGAGAGUGGAAAGCUCAUAAAGUGACGGUAACUACCCAGAAAGGGACGGCUAACUACGUG